UAUAUUUAGAUGUUAAGAUAACAUAAUAUGUCAGAACAAAUAGUCCAACAGCCAAAUUCCAAAUACAAACCCCAGUAAUAUAAUUUUACCAAUUUCACACUUUUAAUAGAAACACAUUUGAUAGCAUCACAUGACAUACACUGUUAUAUGUCCAAAUGUGUGUGGACAACACACCUAACAAAUACAGUCAUCUACUUUAAGUUGUAUUCAUUGCUGACACAGAUUGGCAUCGUGCUUAUUGCACAGUGCCAGGGGCAGUAGAAUGUUCUGUGGAAUAAUGAUGCUCCAUCCAGUUGGAUGAGAGAGGAUGAGUUUCUAUAUCAUCUGUUUUUGUUUACUUUUACUUAUCUCACAGUAUGAACUACUUUAUUAGUGCUUGGUGUGUGUUUGUUGUUGUUUUUUUUAUUGUUAUACAGGUUCUCAGGUGCAUUUUUUGUGUAUUUAUUGUGUGGAUGUUACUCUGAGCUGGAGUUUAUAUAUUUAAAGCUAAUCUUCCAUUUCAGGCUGAUGACAACCCUCUAUCAGAGCAGAGUGUGGCCCAGCAUAUCACUGAGAAACUGGCUCUCACCACUAAUGUGUUACAAUCUGCAAAGGAGCAAAUCAAGUGGUCAAUACUGAAAUAAUCUCUGUUGCCAAGAGUCUGGAGUUGUAAAUGUUCUGAAGGCAUUGAGGAAAGCAGUUGUAUUUAAGCUAUGCAGCUUUAUGUGUGUUUUUUUAGGCUAAUUAAUUGUGGAAUUUGUUGUUGGUGUAGAUUUUGUUUUGUUUUUAAGCCAUUUAAAAUGCAAUCCUUUGUUAAACAGAAUUCAAUGUUUGGAAACUAAAGAGAAAGCUCACACAAUUUGAGCUUCAGGGCAAUUUAAGUCUGUUAAAAGUUGUGGUCAGUAAAGGCUGAUCUGGUUUGCACUGAAUAUUUUUACCACGCCUGCUUGAAUCUGCCCUAGAUAACAGACUAGAGGUUUAUUCAGCUGUAAAGACUUGUACUCAUGUCUGCAUGGCCUUUGUGUCAAACUCCAUGUAAAAUCCAUGUAUUUAUUAUUUUUAAUUAAGUGUAAUUAGAACUAGGGCCACUUUUGGCUGGUGAUGCAUUUGGUGUAUUUUAAAUCUGAGAUAGAUAAGUGUAAAUGCACUACAAAUUACACUUUGUAGGUUUAACUUUGUACUGACUAUAGCCUAUUUAAAAUUAGAUGCAGUUCAACAAGUGGCAGUGUGUUACACUUUGUUACGUAUAGGCCUAUUAUCAGGCCCUGUCAAAAUGCUACAGCAUAUAAAUGCUACAACACUGCUUCAGCUGAAAUAAAGUCAUGGUAACAGUUUACA
rnacentral:lncRNA from 1 species